rnacentral:rRNA from 1 species
UACGUAGGUGGCGAGCGUUGUCCGGAUUUACUGGGCGUAAAGAGCGCGCAGGCGGUCGUUCAAGUCGCGUGUGAAAGCCCCCGGCUCAACUGGGGAGGGUCACGCGAUACUGAUCGACUCGAAGGCAGGAGAGGGUAGUGGAAUUCCCGGUGUAGUGGUGAAAUGCGUAGAUAUCGGGGAGGAACACCAGUGGCGAAGGCGACUACCUGGCCUGUUCUUGACGCUGAGGCGCGAAAGCUAGGGGGAGCAAACGGG